GUCGGUCGUAGAGUAGAAGUUAGUCCGGUGAUCUCAGUUUUUAUAAAGUUAUAAUUCAAGAAUCAGGUGUUACCCAUCACUAAGGGCGAAAACUCUGCUCUAGUGAACUGUAAUUUCAAUUACAAAGCGUCCAGCGGACGCCGUUUGUACGAGCUACAAGCUAGCCAUCGCAUUCCGCCAUCUUGGCGCAUUUAAGGCGCACGUGGUACCAUACCGAAGAGGACCUCGCCACGGCCCGCCAGUGACUGGUAGACAAACGGGGACAGAGGAAGACCGGCCUGCC